rnacentral:lncRNA from 1 species
UCAAAUAUUGUCAGCUCCUUGGUAUGAACUAAUUAUUCAUUUUCUCUCCAAAAGUCUUAGAGCUGGAACAGUGAGAAAAGUCAUGAGCUCAACCCUGAAGUGGAGAAGAGGCACAUUCUUUGUUUUUCACCAGCCACAAGGCUACAGCAAGAGUAUCUCCCUUUACCUGCCUGGAUGGGAACCCAGGGGACUGGUGCCGGAAGUCUGUGUCCCAAUCCAUUGAAUGAGAUCGACAAAACCGUCCACAUCAGACACUGUAAUGAAGGUAAGAGCCGAGUGCUGUGGGAACACAAAGGGGGGCAUCAAACCCAAAUUAAAG